CAAUCACUUAAUGGAUUUUACAAUGUUUUUUAAAAUAAAAAUCUGUGGUAUAAAUGUUAAGCAUAUGGAGUAUGGAUGACUUUAGUCAUUAAAAUUCUUAAAAAUGUAUGUAUAAUUCAUCCAGUAGAAUGUAACCAAGUUUGCUAAACAAUUGGUUUUGAAAUGGAGAUCUAAAGACAAUUAAAUUUGGAUCACUGUUGGAAGUCCUGCAAAGUUUAAUGAUUCCAUAAAGAAUUGAACAAGAUGUGAUCAAUAUAAUUAACCAUAAACAGUUAAUUGACAAUACUAAAUUGGAUUGAACAACACUUUUAAAAAUUAUAAGUCUAUUGUACAGAUAUUUUGUGGAGGUGCUUGUAUGUACCAAGGGAUAAUAGAAAGAUACUCCCUAGGCGCUAUGAAGAAUCAGUGGUAAUAUAUAUUAUGGAUGACUGCAAAGUUUUGAGUGGAAGAUUGGUAAAAUGAAGCUGUGACAUAAUACCAAUAUUGAUAUCCGAACCUUUGUUAAAUGUUUUUAAUAGAAUAGCUAAUAAUCUAAAUAAUCUAUAAUUGUCGACAAAUUUAAUAUUAUUUCAA